UCCAUUUCAUUACCUUCAACCAAAAGCUACUUUCUUCACAGAGUGAAUGGAUGAAGUCGUCUUCUCUGCAACUUGGAACCUUCGAACUACUUUCUUUCCCCCAUGGAGUUCGACUCUCUCUGAUUCCAUUCUCUAACGCUUCCGUCGGAAAAUUAAAGGUUUUCAACGGCUGCAUUAACGACUGGAAAGCUUGCUCCAGGUGGAGGCCCUCCAAUGGUGCUCUCGACUAUUUUGCUGGAACGGGUAGGAUCAUGUGUUAUGGAGGGGCAGGCUUAUGCUAUCUAACUCUGUGCCUAUCUCUACGGUGAUCUUAAAAGCCACAAGAGACUAGUUUCAUGUUCCUUUCAUUGAUGACAAUGUAAGCUCUGGAAUCUCCUCCUCUGGGACUGAGAUCUUAUUAGCUUCACAACAUUUCUGUAGGUUGCUUUACCAUUUUUUAUUUUUAUUUUAUUGGUUUUUGUAAGCAACUUUUGUAAAUUGCUGUAGAUGGUGCCAGUAGUGAUUUUGCAUAGGAAAGCCAUAGCAGUGCUUUUAUGGUAUUUUCUGGAAAACAAUAAACCAUUAUUUUCUUACCAUGGAGAAACUUGUUCAUUGUAGUGAUUUCAUGGCCUCCUUCUGUCAGUCCCAUGUUUUCUCCUAUGCCUAUAUAUGGAGAUGCAUCAAAUUCACAGGUAAUGUAUUUUAUAUAUUGCUCGUUGGAUCUAAAUUUCUUUUGUUCACAUCAACUUAAACAAAAAAGAAAAAGAAAAUCUACUGUGAUUGGGUGUGUGAUAGUAAUCAGGUAUCCAUUCUUGCGGUCUUCAACGUCUGAUUAUAUUUUCUUUUCCAAUUUUGCUGUUUUCAGUUUUUUGGUAGUUUUCUUGCCAUAGAAAAUCCAGAUUUAUUAGUUUGUCUGCGAGUAUGCUGAAUGGAGUUCACAGAGAAGAUUACUCCCCAUGAAGGUGGAUGCGCAUUCAUUCAUGUUCCUUCUUUCAAUCUAAAUUUAUAUACAUGGAAGAUUGGUAGUAGAGGGAAAUGGUAUGUAUCUCACUCAUAUAAAGAUAUAUGUAUAUAGAGUACAUGCAUCUAUCGACCAACAAUUUCUAUCCGAAUGCUCCUAUUUUAUGUUAGCAGCAUAUCUGUUGCUGCAGGUAAGAUAAACAAUUGUCCUAGACCCUAGUGUUAUUUGGCUUUACAUGGGAGUAUUUAUACUUUUCCCAAAAUUAUAACAUUAGUAAAAGUUUUAAAGCUUUAGGAUUAUAACCAGACACCAGUUACCGCAUUAUCCUGCAAUUUUAGUUGUUGAACUUACCACCUGUUUCUAGUAAUUAAAAUUUAGCCAAUUACUAUGUGGAUGUUUUAUUUUUCCUUCUUUUGCCAUACCAAGUUUCCAUAAAAUUUCUUAAUGGCUAUUCAACUGACCCUGAGCCAAAAGUGGCUUACAUGCACUUAGGUUAAUAAGUUUUUGGGGAAAUCUUUCACUUAUUUAUUCAAUUUGCCAGCUGUCUAACUUAAUUUAUUCUUAUCUCUGCUUUGUAACUCAGGGAAUUAGAUUCAUUGUGCUUUCUUUUGAUUUUCUGAUCAGUAGGCACACUUGGUGCUUAAUUGAGACUAAGAAUCUCAAUAUCAAGAGAUCCAAGGUUCGAACCUUGGUCUCAUUCUAAUUCCCAACCCUCACUGCUAGACCAAAAUCUAUUGGCUUAUUUAUUUGUUACUUAAUUGACCAUAGACCUAUUUCCCUUUUUUACUUAGGAGUAUUGAACACACCUGUAAUUUUGAGUUUCAUGUUACUUUUAACAAGAGACAUCUCAAAUACGGGACAUCCUAAUUCGGUUGAAUGGGAUGACAGUUUCUCUGGGCCAUGUGUUAUGUGUUGAGAACGGGAAUUGAACUUUAUGAGAUCUAACCUCCUGUUGUUCCUCAGUAGCUCAGUGGUAGAGCGGUCGGCUGUUAACCGAUUGGUCGUAGGUUCGAAUCCUACUUGGGGAGAUUUGAUUCAUUCUGUGCUUUCUUUUUGAUUUGUCUAACGCAAUAUUUUUACUGAGCACUGCUAAAUAUUUAUUUGCACUUUUUGAAUCGGAACAGAAUGAAGUCCUAUGUGUUUUCUAAAAAUACAGAAUAUAAAGAGGCAUACAUGUGCACUGGUUGCUAAUGAAGUAGGUAAGUUUGCUAGGAUUUAUAUUUUGAAAUUUGGUUUUAUUUUUUCACGGAGAAAAAGUUAGAGAUAUGAAACUCUUUUAAUUUGAUGUCAGAUUGUAGCACUCGUGAAUUUGAUAUGCAUGUAGAACAAUU